ensembl:lncRNA
GGAGGAAGCGUCGUUCUGUGGAAUGAAGGGGUACUUUGGCGUGAGUGCCGAACGUCAGAAUUUCCCUGGUUCCAUGUUUGAUGUCGUUUAUGGCCAACUAAGGGAAUAAUCAGUCACUCUUAGAAGUGCUGGGACCACAGGGGAAUGGCCCCCAGGAGGUGGGUCUGUGAAGCCGUUUGGCCAACUGCUGCUUAAAGAUGGAAAUGUGUGACAUAAAAUCCAGCCAAUCGGCAUCCUCAAUGGGAUUCAGCUACGGGCCGAAGUGGUUUAGCCCGUAGCUCGCGUGUCCUCGUCAGGGGGCGAGUGCAAGCAAAAGAACAAACCCACCUCAGUAACAUCUCACCCCCAAGAGCCAUUUGAGAGCCGAACUUUGGCGAAAAAAC